rnacentral:sRNA from 1 species
GUUUCAAUUCCUCAUAGGCAGGCUAUCGGCGAUUCAAGAGUGAAGAUUGAUGAAUCGAGGACCACGG